UACGUAGGUGGCAAGCGUUGUCCGGAUUUACUGGGCGUAAAGAGCGCGCAGGCGGUCGUCCAAGUCGAGUGUGAAAGCCCCCGGCUCAACUGGGGAGGGUCACUCGAUACUGAUCGACUCGAAGGCAGGAGAGGGAAGCGGAAUUCCCGGUGUAGUGGUGAAAUGCGUAGAUAUCUGGAGGAACACCGGUGGCGAAGGCGGCGUUCUGGACUGUUACUGACACUGAGGAACGAAAGCCAGGGGAGCAAACGGG
rnacentral:rRNA from 1 species